AGGGUUUGAUUAUGGCUCAGGACGAACGCUGGCGGCGUGCCUAACACAUGCAAGUCGAACGAAAUUACGAAGAAAGCUUGCUUUAAUCGUAAUUUAGUGGCGGACGGGUGAGUAACGCGUGAGGACUUGUCGGAUACAGGGGGACAACAGAUGGAAACGUCUGCUAAUACCCCAUAAGCCUUUUGGUAAAAGGAGCAAUCCGGUAUCUGAGAGACUCGCGUUCUAUCAGCUAGUAGGUGGGGUAACGGCCCACCUAGGCCAAGACGGAUAGCCGGACUGAGAGGUCGACCGGCCACACUGGAACUGAGAGACGGUCCAG
rnacentral:rRNA from 1 species